ensembl:Mt_tRNA
GUUCUUGUAGUUGAAUACAACGAUGGUUUUUCAUAUCAUAGGUCAUGGUUUAAACCCAUGUGGGAAUU